ACCCGCUGAACUUAAGCAUAUCAAUAAGCGGAGGAAAAGAAACCAACAAGGAUUGCCCUAGUAACGGCGAGUGAAGCGGCAACAGCUCAAAUUUGAAAUCUGGCGUCUUUGGCGUCCGAGUUGUAAUUUGCAGAGGGCGCUUUGGCAUUGGCAGCGGUCCAAGUUCCUUGGAACAGGACGUCACAGAGGGUGAGAAUCCCGUACGUGGUCGCUAGCCUUUACCGUGUAAAGCCCCUUCGACGAGUCGAGUUGUUUGGGAAUGCAGCUCUAAAUGGGAGGUAAAUUUCUUCUAAAGCUAAAUACUGGCCAGAGACCGAUAGCGCACAAGUAGAGUGAUCGAAAGAUGAAAAGCACUUUGGAAAGAGAGUUAAAAAGCACGUGAAAUUGUUGAAAGGGAAGCGCUUGCAGCCAGACUUGCCUGUAGUUGCUCAUCCGGGUUUUUACCCGGUGCACUCUUCUAUAGGCAGGCCAGCAUCAGUUUGGGCGGUUGGAUAAAGGUCUCUGUCAUGUACCUCUCUUCGGGGAGAACUUAUAGGGGAGACGACAUGCAACCAGCCCGGACUGAGGUCCGCGCAUCUGCUAGGAUGCUGGCGUAAUGGCUGU
rnacentral:rRNA from 1 species